CCCGAAACCGGGCGACCUACCCAUGAGCAGGAUGAAGCGAAAGUAAAAUUUCGUGGAGGUCCGAACCCACGAGCGUUGAAAAGCUCGGGGAUGACUUGUGGGUAGCGGUGAAAUUCCAAUCGAGCCCGGAGAUAGCUGGUUCUCCCCGAAAUAGCUUUAGGGCUAGCCUCAAGGUGAGAGAUACGGAGGUAGAGCACUGAAUGUCCUAGGGGGUAUUGCACCUACCGAAGACUAUCAAACUCCGAAUGCCGUCAUCUUAUACUUGGGAGUCAGACUGUGGGUGAUAAGAUUCAUAGUCGAAAGGGCAACAGCCCAGAUCGUCAGCUAAGGUCCCUAAAUGUAAGUUAAGUGGUAAAGGAUGUGGGAUUGCACAGACAACCAGGAUGUUGGCUUAGAAGCAGCCACUCAUUCAAAGAGUGCGUA
rnacentral:rRNA from 1 species